ACAUUUACCUGGCAGGGCAGAUACCAUGGUCACAAUGGUGGUUUCUCCAGGGCAAGGCUCAUUCAUUACACUCCAGAUGUGCUGAUCCCUGCAGUUGACCCAAAGGUGGUAAACUCAACUGCAAUAUUUGUGGUAGUGGGGGACUGCGUUUGCACUCUCCCUUG